GACGAACGCUGGCGGCGUGCUUAACACAUGCAAGUCGAACGGUGAGAGAAGGGCUUGCUCUUCUGGUUGAGUGGCGAACGGGUGAGUAACACGUGAGUAACCUGCCCCAGACUCUGGGAUAAGCGCUGGAAACGGCGGCUAUACCCGAUACGGGACAGAGCCGCAAGGCUAGUGUCUGGAAAGUUUUUCGGUCUGGGAUGGACUCGCGGCCUAUCAGCUUGUUGGUGGGGUAACGGCUCACCAAGGCAACGACGGGUAGCCGGCCUGAGAGGGCGACCGGCCACACUGGGACUGAGACACGGCCCAGACUCCUACGGGAGGCAGCAGUGGGGAAUAUUGCACAAUGGGAGAAAGCCUGAUGCAGCGACGCCGCGUGAGGGAUGACGGCCUUCGGGUUGUAAACCUCUUUCAGCAGGGAAGAAGCGAAAGUGACGGUACCUGCAGAAGAAGCACCGGCUAACUACGUG
rnacentral:rRNA from 1 species